rnacentral:rRNA from 1 species
AGUGGGCUUGAUUGUGGGGAAAACUCCACAGUUAAGCGCGCUUGAGCCAGAGGCGUCUUGGGAUGGGUGACCACCUGGGAAGUCCUGGUUACCGGGUGCA